CAGCAGCCACGGUAAUACGAAGGGGGCUAGCGUUGUUCGGAAUUACUGGGCGUAAAGGGCGCGUAGGCGGCCAUUCAAGUUAGAUGUGAAAGCCCUGGGCUCAACCUAGGAAUUGCAUUUGAUACUGUUUGGCUUGAGUUCGGGAUAGGUGAGUGGAAUUCCCAGUGUAGAGGUGAAAUUCGUAGAUAUUGGGAAGAACACCAGUGGCGAAGGCGGCUCACUGGACCGACACUGACGCUGAGGCGCGAAAGCGUGGGGAGCAAACAGGAUUAGAUACCCCUGUAGUCCCUGUCUCUUAUAC
rnacentral:rRNA from 1 species